rnacentral:snoRNA from 1 species
CCCCUCUCAGGAUCACACCUGGAGAGUUUUCAGUACUCUACCAGUCUCAGCUAUGGGAGGGAGAGUCAAGCAGAGGCCUACCCAUUCCAUUCCUAGCUUGGGCCUUGACUAGCGAGUGUAAGUCAAUCUGCUACAAGU